AAUCCAAACCGGGCAAUCGCUUUUGGUUUUAUAACCAGAGGAGGAAAGUCCGAACUUCGUAGAACAGAGUGCCGGGUAAUUCCCGGGGUUCCGCUUUUGCGGGAUACGGAAAGUGCCACAGAAAAAUACUUCUCCGGUUUAAACCGGGGUAAAGGUGAAAAGGCAGGGUAAGAGCCUACCGCAGUAAUGGUAACAUUACUGGUCCAGAAAUGGAUUCCGCUUUUGGCGGAACAAGGUAAACCCCACUCGAAGCAAGGUCAAAUAAGGUAGUUGUUCCUUAACCGGAAGUGAGUUGUUCGCUCAUAAUAGCUGCCGGGUAGACCGCUGGAUCCCGUUAGUAAUAGCGGGACGAGAUAAAUGAUUGCCGUCCUGAUUUUUUUUCAGGAUUACAGAAUUCGGCUUACAGGUUUGGAUUGCUA
rnacentral:RNase_P_RNA from 1 species